rnacentral:rRNA from 1 species
GAACCGUACGAACGUUAUUCGGAAUCACUGGGCUUAAAGGGUGCGUAGGCGGCGCUGAAAGUUGGGUGUGAAAUCCCUCGGCUCAACCGAGGAACUGCAUUCAAAACUACUGGUCUUGAAUGUUGUUGAGGUGGGCGGAACGGGUCAUGUAGCGGUGAAAUGCAUAGAUAUGACCCGGAACACCGAUUGCGAAGGCAGCCCACUAAGCAAUGAUUGACGCUGAGGCACGAAAGCGUGGGGAUCAAACAGGAUUAGAUACCCUGGUAGUCCACGCCCUAAACGAUGAUUACUCGACGUUGGCGAUACACUGAUCAGCGUCCAAGCGAAAGCAUCAAGUAAUCCACCUGGGAAGUACGUUCGCAAGAAUG